CGUACCUAAAGGUCGGUAACCGUAAGGAGCCGCCUAGGGUAAAACUAGUGACUGGGGCU
rnacentral:rRNA from 1 species